CAGUCGCCGCGGGAAUACGAAGGGGGCUAGCGUUGCUCGGAAUGACUGGGCGUAAAGGGCGCGUAGGCGGAUUGUUUAGUUAGGCGUGAAAUUCCUGGGCUUAACCUGGGGACUGCGCUUAAUACAGGCAGUCUAGAGUGAGGAAGAGGGUUGUGGAAUUCCCAGUGUAGAGGUGAAAUUCGUAGAUAUUGGGAAGAACACCGGUGGCGAAGGCGGCAACCUGGUCCUUGACUGACGCUGAGGCGCGAAAGCGUGGGGAGCAAACAGGAUUAGAUACCCCCGUAGUCCCUGUCUCUUAUAC
rnacentral:rRNA from 1 species